GACGAACGCUGGCGGCGUGCCUAAUACAUGCAAGUAGAACGCACAGUUUAUACCGUAGCUUGCUACACCAUAGACUGUGAGUUGCGAACGGGUGAGUAACGCGUAGGUAACCUGCCUGGUAGCGGGGGAUAACUAUUGGAAACGAUAGCUAAUACCGCAUAAUAUUGAUUAUUGCAUGAUAAUUGAUUGAAAGAUGCUAUUUCAUCACUACCAGAUGGCCCUGCGUUGUAUUAGCUAGUAGGUGAGGUAACGGCUCACCUAGGCGACGAUACAUAGCCGACCUGAGAGGGUGAUCGGCCACACUGGGACUGAGACACGGCCCAGACUCCUACGGGAGGCAGCAGUAGGGAAUCUUCGGCAAUGGACGAAAGUCUGACCGAGCAACGCCGCGUGAGGGAAGAAGGUUUUCGGAUCGUAAAGCUCUGUUGUAAGAGAAGAACGGGUGUGAGAGUGGAAAGUUCACACUGUGACGGUAUCUUACCAGAAAGGGACGGCUAACUACGUG
rnacentral:rRNA from 1 species